rnacentral:tRNA from 1 species
CCCCUGGAGAUCCAGUGGCUAAGACUCUAUGCUUCCAAUGCAGAGGGUCCAGGUUCAAUUCCUGGUCAGGGCA